CCGCAGCCUCCCCGGGUGGG
rnacentral:misc_RNA from 1 species